GAUGGCAAAAUCAUGUAUAUAUCCGAGACCGCUUCUGUCCAUUUAGGCUUAUCCCAGGUGGAGCUCACGGGCAACAGUAUUUAUGAAUACAUCCAUCCUUCUGACCACGAUGAGAUGACCGCUGUCCUCACGGCCCACCAGCCGCUGCACCACCACCUGCUCCAAGGUAUUCCAUCCAGAGGGAAAAAAAAAAACAGACUAAAAGCAAGGCGACAUUCUUAAAUGGAACUCAGGGCUUUGCUUCCCACAUCUGCCAAGUGGCUGGGCAUGACUAGGACUGCCCAGCCCAGGUCUCUCCAAUACACACACAGCACCCACCACGUGGGGAUUUGCAUUGAUACCUGUGUCUUUUAAGCCAAUAUUCAUCAAGCUCCUAUUGUUGGCCAGAACCCGUGUUGAGUGCUAGGUAGAGGACAAAAGUGGUGCAAGCCUGCUCCCCUCGUGCUCUUGGGUCAGAAUUCCAGGGAUUACAGCAUCACGGGUCUAGACCAAGCUUCUCCUUAACCAAGAUGCCGUGCCUAAAACUCGGGGGUCGGGGGUGGUCCAUGACAUUUCAUGGGGAAAAUUACAUAUGUGUUUCCUCCAGUUGAAAUUUGGCAUUUCCUUUGCUUCUGAUGAUAGAUGAUAAACCAUCUUGGGGUCCCUAGUACCUGUGGCUUUGCCAACAAUAGAAAUCACAGAUGUUUUCCAUAUCAUAGGAAAGUUUUGCAGGUUUAAACAUAUCGCUUAUGCCCACAUGCCUACUUCAAAAUUUCAGGAGUUCUAAGACCUGCUACUGAAUCUUCUUAUUUAUGUAUUAAUAAAGCAGCACAUUUAUAUCCGUA
rnacentral:lncRNA from 1 species